rfam:Astyanax mexicanus Tnplaced_Scaffold3291, whole genome shotgun sequence.
UCAUGUGUGAGAGCGGUCUUGAGCACAGAACUCCGGUCUUCGUCUGAUCUCGGAAGCUAAGCAGGGUUUGGCCUGGUUAGUUACUUGGAUGGGAGACCACCUGGGAAUACCAGGUGCUGUAAGCU